UACUCCUACGGGAGGCAGCAGUGGGGAAUAUUGGACAAUGGACCGAGAGUCUGAUCCAGCAAUUCUGUGCGCACGAUGAAGUUUUUCGGAAUGUAAAGUGCUUUCAGUUGGGAAGAAACAAAUGACGGUACCAACAGAAGAAGUGACGGCUAAAUACGUGCCAGCAGCCGCGGUAAUACGUAUGUCACGAGCGUUAUCCGGAUUUAUUGGGCGUAAAGCGCGUCUAGGUGGUUAUGUAAGUCUGAUGUGAAAAUGCAGGGCUCAACUCUGUAUUGCGUUGGAAACUGUAUAACUAGAGUACUGGAGAGGUAAGCGGAACUACAAGUGUAGAGGUGAAAUUCGUAGAUAUUUGUAGGAAUGCCGAUGGGGAAGCCAGCUUACUGGACAGAUACUGACGCUGAAGCGCGAAAGCGUGGGUAGCAAACAGGAUUAGAUACCCUGGUAGUCCACGCCGUAAACGAUGAUUACUAGGUGUUGGGGGUCGAACCUCAGCGCCCAAGCAAACGCGAUAAGUAAUCCGCCUGGGGAGUACGUACGCAAGUAUGAAACUCAAAGGAAUUGACGGA
rnacentral:rRNA from 1 species